GUAAUCGCUUUGAUGGUACGUAUACUCAAACUGAAACGAUAUAGGGAAGAACAGCAUGGCUACUGCACAAGGAUGAAAAAAAAGUGUUUAGAGUUCAAGCUUCGUAAU